ensembl:snRNA U2 U2 spliceosomal RNA
AUCACUUCUUGGCCUUUUGGCUAAGAUCAAAUAUAGUAUUUAUUCUUACCAGUUUAAUGUCUCAUACAUCUUCUAUCUGAGGACAAUAUAUUAAGUGGAAUUUUGGAACUGGGAGAUGAAAUAGGAGCUUGCUUCAUCCACUCCACACAUCAGCCUGGUAUUGCAGUACCUCCAGGAAUGGUGCAACCCCU